UUAGGGUUUGAUCCUGGCUCAGAAUCAACGCUGGCGGCGUGCCUAACACAUGCAAGUCGAACGCGAAAGCCCCGAAAGGGGCCAGUAGAGUGGCAAACGGGUGAGUAACACGUGGGUGACCUGCCUACGAGCGGGGGAUAACGUCCCAAAAGGGACGCUAGUACCUCAUAACAUCCUGCCUUUGAAGAGGUGGAGAUCAAAGCUGGGGAUCGCAAGACCCGGCACUUGAAGAGGGGCCCGCGUCUCAUUAGCAAGUUGGUGGGGUAAUGGCCUACCAAGGCAACGAUCAGAAUCCGGCCUGAGAGGGCGGACGGACACACUGGGACUGAGACACGGCCCAGACUACUACGGGAGGCAGCAGUGGGGGAAUUGUUCGCAAUGGUCGCAAGCCUCACGACGCAACGCCGCGUGGAGGAUGAAGAUUUUCGGAUCGUAAACUCCUGUCGAAUGGGACGAGAGAUUGCGGGUUAACAGCCCGUAGUCCUAACGGUACCGUUAAAGGAGACCCCCGGCAAACUUCGUGCCAGCAGCCGUGGUACAUACGGGGGGGGUAAGCGUUGUUCGGAAUUACCGGCGUAAAGGGCUCGUAGGCGGCCAACUAAGUCAUACGUGAAAACCCUCAGCUUAACUGGGGAACUGCGUGUGAUACUGGAAGCCUUGGAUUUGGGAGAGGGAUGCGGACUUCCAGGUGUAGCAGUGAAAUGCGUAGAUAUCUGGAGGAACACCGGUGCCGAAUGCGGCAUCCUGGGCCAGCAUUGGACGCGGAUGAGCGAAAGCCGGGG
rnacentral:rRNA from 1 species